AUCUUCACCACUGCUCUCUCAGAGAUCCAGGUCCGGGAGAUGACAGUGGCUCCCAGAAAGCCCAGGAUUCAAUCGCUGAGAGAGUGCUUAGGCCCGAAUGCCGGCCCAAAUCGUUCUACUCACCGUGUCGGAGGCCGAGAGCGAUGAGAGUGCAGGGAAGUGGGGAAGAGGGGGUGGCCGCCAGGCUCCUCCGCUUCCCUGGGUCCACGGCGGAUCCCUCCCGCUUGUCAGGAGGCGGCCAGCGGGUAAGCUGACUGGCGGAAAUGCGAGAGAGGAGAAGGGAAAGGUGGAAGGCUAAAGGGGGCAAACUGAGGGGAGGCGGGUCCCGCAACCGAGACUGGGAUCGUCUCCCCUC
rnacentral:lncRNA from 1 species